GUUGAUUCUAUGUAUUUGCUAUUGUCAAAAGUGCUUCAAUGAACGUGCGCAUGCGUGUAUCUUUAUAAUAGAAUGAUUCAUAUUCCUUUGGGUACAUACCAGGCAAUGGAGUUGCUGGGUUAAAUAGUAUUUCUGUAUUUAGGUUUUUGAGGAAUCACCACAGUGUCUUCCACAAUGGCUGACUGGCAGGGAUGAAUCUCUUAAGUGGAAAUAUUUAUAGCAAAGAAAAAAAUAAAGAAAUACAUACCUGUACUCUAAGAGGAAUUUAUUGGUGAGAAAAAACGGUAAGAUAGUUACAAAAAAAAUCUAUAUGGAAAUCACAAAAAGAAGACAAUAAAAAGAAAAAUGACUGAAGGGUAAAAUAUCCUUGCUGAAAUAUAUCACUGCCAAACAAAUUCACUAAAUCCAGCUACAGGAGAUGCA
rnacentral:lncRNA from 10 species